AGUCUUUAAGCAGCAAGCAUUAUUCAAGAUAUAUUUCAUCAGAUUCCUCUCUUGCUCCGUCGCAAACAUCGCUGUCCAUUUGAAUGUUUCAAGACUCGAUAACAAACAUUUAGGAACACAAUUUAGUUCAUCCUGACAGAAAACCAGUGGAUCAAGCUGGUUCCAUAUAUGAUCCUGAGAUCAAACAUGUGAGCUUAGCUUAAAGAUUAAUUGAAUUAAUUUAAACCAUAUGAAAAUCACUUUAAAGUUAUCAAACUUACUUUUUGCGUAUAGACUUCCAGCUCUCGUAAAUUAGGAGAAUCGUUGAGUAAUCGGAAAAGUACCUUUGACCAAUAUACACCACAAUGACACAACUCCAGAUGUGUAAGCUGAUUGAAGACAAUACCCUCACAAUAUAACGCCUGCACACGACGACAAAGGAUUCAACAUUAAGAAAACAUUGUUUAGUAGUGUUCUAUAAAAUGAUGUUAAUAUGAAAACAUACCUCUUGGGUAUCGACUCCUGUGCAUAAGGAAAGCCGCGUAACGAAUGUGAUUGAUGAAACAAAUUUGUCAAAACCAGGGUAUAUUGAAUCAAUAUACACCUCCUCCAGGUUGGGCAUAGUGUUAGAAUAAAAGGGGUAAUCAUCAACCUCCUCAGUAGCACUCUCAUCAAUAAUUUUGAAAUACUUCAAAGAAGGAGUACUUAACAUAAGCUCACUAAGAGCAUUAGUUCCUAAUAUCUCAAGAGUUAGUCUCUGCAAGGACGGGAC
rnacentral:lncRNA from 1 species